GUGGGGAAUAUUGGGCAAUGGGGGCAACCCUGACCCAGCGACGCCGCGUGAGGGAAGAAGGCCUUAGGGUCGUAAACCUCUGUUGUGUGGGAAGAAGGAAGUGACGGUACCACACGAGGAAGUCCCGGCUAACUACGUGCCAGCAGCCGCGGUAAUACGUAGGGGACGAGCGUUGUCCGGAAUUACUGGGCGUAAAGGGCGCGUAGGCGGUCAUUUAAGUCAGCUGUGAAAGGGUCCGGCUCAACCGGAUCAUGCGGUUGAAACUGGAUGACUGGAGUGCUGGAGAGGCAAGUGGAAUUCCCAGUGUAGCGGUGAAAUGCGUAGAUAUUGGGAAGAACACCGGUGGCGAAGGCGACUUGCUGGCCAGCAACUGACGCUGAGGCGCGAAAGCCAGGGGAGCAAACGGGAUUAGAAACCCGUGUAGUCC
rnacentral:rRNA from 1 species